rnacentral:lncRNA from 1 species
CAACUUGAUCUUUCAUCUUCCUUAGUCUCCCCUCCUCUUGAAUUAGCAUAGCCUUUAAUUCCUUAAAGUUCCAUUUAUCCUUAAUGGUGUUGUAAUUCACCUGGAACUGGCUAAAUUCAAGAGGUAGAGAGUUCAUGAUGAAUUGGACCAAGAAUUGCUCAUGUACCUCCAUUCCCAAGGUCGUUAACUUUGCUGCCAGAUUAGACAUGUGCGUCAAAUGAUCAUGGAUUGGCUGAGACCAGUCAAACUUCUUUGUAGUUAGCUCAUUCAUGAGACUUCCUACAAUCGACUUGUCAGCCAAUUCCGAUUGUGAACACUCCUU